CCUGCCGUAGCUCAGCGGCACGAGCAGCGGUCUUCUAAGCCGAUGGUCGCGGGUUCGACUCCCGCCGGGAGGA
rnacentral:tRNA from 1 species